rnacentral:rRNA from 1 species
GCUUGUUGGUGGGGUAACGGCCUACCAAGGCGAUUACGGGUAGCCGGCCUGAGAGGGCGACCGGCCACACUGGGACUGAGACACGGCCCAGACUCCUGCGGGAGGCAGCAGUGGGGAAUAUUGCGCAAUGGGCGAAAGCCUGACGCAGCGACGCCGCGUGGGGGAUGACGGCCUUCGGGUUGUAAACCUCUUUUACCACCAACGCAGGCUCCGGGUUCUCUCGGGGUUGACGGUAGGUGGGGAAUAAGGACCGGCUAACUACGUGCCAGCAGCCGCGGUAAUACGUAGGGUCCGAGCGUUGUCCGGAAUUAUUGGGCGUAAAGAGCUCGUAGGCGGCGUGUCGCGUCUGCUGUGAAAGACCGGGGCUUAACUCCGGUUCUGCAGUGGAUACGGGCAUGCUAGAGGUAGGUAGGGGAGACUGGAAUUCCUGGUGUAGCGGUGAAAUGCGCAGAUAUCAGGAGGAACACCGGUGGCGAAGGCGGGUCUCUGGGCCUUACCUGACGCUGAGGAGCGAAAGCAUGGGGAGCGAACAGGAUUAGAUACCCUGGUAGUCCAUGCCGUAAACGUUGGGCGCU